rnacentral:rRNA from 1 species
AUGGCAACUGCCGAUGAUCUCAAGAAGCUUGAGGAGGAACUCAAGAACCGCGAGUCCAUCAUCCGGACCCGCGAGGAUGAACUACAACGCCAAGCUGAAGAACGGGGGAAGGCUGUCGUCCUCCCUGCGGCCUCCACGUACGCCGCUUCCAUCAAGACCUUCGUCCCCAUCACCCUUGAUCUCCACGACUCCAACUACGCCAAGUGGCGUGAGCUAUUCCUCGUCGCUCUUGGUCGCUACGGUCUCUCCAAUCAUGUUCUCUCAGAGAAUACCCCAACGGACACCUCCCACACCUCUGAUUGGGGUCGCGAUGACUUCACUGUCCUCUCAUGGAUUUAUGGAUCGAUUUCUCUCGAGCUCUUCGGCGUCAUCAUGAAACCAGGUUCCACCGCAAAGCAAGUUUGGGAUGCCAUCGCCAACCUAUUCCGAGACAACAAGAAGAGUCGUGCUCUGGCUCUCGAUGCAGAAUUUCGCAACACAACUCAAGGGGACAUGACGAUCUCCGCCUAUUGUGCCAAGCUUAAGACUCUCUCUGAUGCACUUGAUGAUGUCGAGCAGCCGGUCACCGACGAGACCCUCGUGCUGACCUUGCUUCGCGGCCUCAACGAACAGUACUCACACCUGCCGGCAACAGUGUGCUUCCCGGCGCCGGUGGCGAACGCACUCCACCGCCGAACGAUGGGCGCUCCUUCUCCACUGAUCGCCGCGGCCCAGCACCACUACCUUCUCCAGGAGGCCGCGGAGGAAGCAAUAGUGGCCGCUGCCGUGGCCGUGGCGGGCGUGGUCGUCGCGAUACACCAUGGAUGUACAAUCCAUGGACUGGACAGCCGACGCGUCUCCAUCAGCAACAGAUGCCGUCGCCUCAUUAUCAUCAACCACCAGCAUCGUCGCCCACUUGGUCGCCUCGUCCAUGGCGCCCUACAACUCCUGGGGUACUCGGUCCACGCCCUACCACACCGUCCCCACAAGCGUAUGCAGCAUAUGGUCAUGGUCCUACGGCUCCUUACAACCCUCCAGCGCAUUACAACAACUUCCAGCAACAUGUAG